rnacentral:rRNA from 1 species
AGAGGGCGUGAAACCGCUUAGAAGGAAACGAGAGGUGCCGCUUUAUCCGAUGAGAUUCACCCGCUUGUUGAUGCUUUGUGUUGACAGUGGGGCAUUUCUUGUCGGUUGCACUGAAAGCUGUGUCACUUAUUGCUAUGAUCAUUCAGAAGUAAGGCACUCUAAGUGCUGUUUUUUGUUUGAUUUGUUUCAAUGAUGAUACAGUGAAAUAGGGCAUGCAUUACUCUGAUCAGUAACAGUCAUACAUACAGUCGGCUCAGGGCAUUCGAUUCCGAUCGGUGCUGUAACAUCUGCGUUUGUAUGUCUGCUCAUUGAGAACAUGUCAUUUCGGUGUAAAAUUCGGCUAACCUCCCGACCCGUCUUGAAACACGGACCAAGGAGUCUAACAUGUGUGCGAGUCGUUGGGUUUAUUAAACCUAAAGGCGUAAUGAAGGUAUAGGCCGACUUGCUCGGUUGACACAUGACCUGUACAUUUUGGUGUACGGAGCAGUGUGGUCCCGUCUUAAUGCUUGUCGUUGAGGCGGAGAUAGAGCGCACAUGUUGGGACCCGAAAGAUGGUGAACUAUGCCUGAACAGGAUGAAGCCAGAGGAAACUCUGGUGGAAGUCCGAAACGGUUCUGACGUGCAAAUCGA